AAUGUAUUUCCUGUGAUCUAAUUCUAGUUGUUGCUGUAAAAAUUUUGUAUGUGUGUGUUCUCCCUGACUUAUUGUGAAGAACCCACUGUUCCCAUCACCAUCAUGCUGGACCCCAGAGGGGAAGGGACAAUCCACAGGGUGAUCAGUGGGUGGGGAUCCCCACAAAGGGGCCGGAAGAGCCACCAGGUCCCAAGGGAGGAGGGGAUAGCACCGAGGUCCCACAGCUCUUCUCCUCAGGCCCUGCCACCGUCCCCAGGGAAUCCAAGUAUUCUCUGGGACACAGAAGCGCUUUCUCUCAGAGAUCCAAGCAGGAAAAAGAGCAGGAGAGGUGGCCAGCACCCCUUUCCUACUGAUUAGGGGGGUUAGAUCGUCCCUGGCUGCGAAGCCUUGAAACCCGUUUCCCUCAGCCACACCUCGGAAUUCCUGGCAGAUCCCUGGGGCAGCAGCACACACAGGAAUGCCUCGUGGGCUUGGGCAGAAAGAGAGGGAAAGAGGAUCCAGUUCUAUCUCCCAGCAAGGGCAGGAUCUGUAAAACACAGAAAUAGCCCCAACUGGAUUUCUGCUUUAAUUAUUUGAAAUUUAGAUAAGCUCCCUGUGGUGUUACACAAACAACUGGUGAUAUGUCAGGUGCACUUCCUUGGAUAUGUACAGUGAGCCCAGUUCCCCCUGCAGCCCUCUCACCUUCCCUUGGAUUAGAGGGAAAGGAGUUACAGGAUAAAAAACUGUAACCAACCACGGGCUGUUCAAGCACUGUGUAAGUGUAGACAUUUAUUUUAAGACCAAUUUAGGCUGUUUUUGUGUCUUUCAGUUACAUCUGUUUCCGUGGGUGAAAAAUCCUGGGAAAAGAUGUGACCAUCAUUUUACAGCCUGAACUACUAAAGCUUGAAUGUUGAAUGCUCCCUGGGUGUUCACAGAGGAGCUGACACCAAAACAAUAAGGAGUAUGGAGUUAAGGUUUUAGAGUUUGGGCCACACUCAUUCAAGGAAUUUGGGAGCUGAGCUUAAUGGAUUCCCAAGAGUUAACGAGAUUCCUCAAAUGCCAUGUGCUGACUUCCUAACCCAGCUAAGAGAAAUGCUGAAAAAAGAGCUGUUGCUGAGCUCCAGUUCUCAGAGCCAGGUACGUCCAAGAGCAGGGGAUUUGCCUCCCCGCACUGAAGCACAGCCACGCCGGUGUUUCACCCCCACUCCCUCACAGGGGGCUGCAGCAGCUCCUUUUCCUGCCUCCCAACAGAGCUCAGCCCUUGCAGCCUCUCAGCAGGGGAUGACAUAAAUUCGGGCUUUGCUUUUAUCCUGGACAGAAUCCAAGGAGCCUCUAUUAUAAUCUUCCAGCUGAUUGAUCCGAUGGCUCUGGCGGCACUGCUGAUGUCCGGGGUGCUCUGGAACAAGGCUCUGGUUUGACCCUUCCUGCUGGAAUGGUUCUGCUCCCUGGGGGCUGACAGGAAUUGUGUGUGUUUCCAGUCUUUGGGUGCAGACACUCCUUUGGGAAGGAAGGAUCCGUGUUCCUGUCUCUGCUGCAGUGAACAGCUCCCAGUGACUCGGUGAUGGAGCUCCCUGCAGUGCAGAGCAGUGGAUUUAACAGCCAGAGCUGUGCAGGCCCAUGUUCCCAGGACACACUGCAAUGCAGGAAUGUGGGUAAGUAAACAACUAUUUCAGCGGGAUUGUUCAAAGACUGAGAUGUGCUAGAGGCAACUUUCAUGUCCACAGAGUCACCACCCAUCAGAAGGUGGGGCACAAGAACCUCCACUGACAGCUCAGGGAAUGACACAACUGCAAUGAGCAGCCAGUACUCAACAGAGAUGGGGCAGGUUCCCUGUGUGUGUAGUACCAACAACCUACUCCUGGAAUGGGUUGGUUGGAAGGGACCUUAAAGACCAGCUCGUUCCACCCCCUGCCAUGGGCAGAGGCACCUUCCACUAGCCCAGGUUGCUCCAAGCUCCAUCCAGCCUGGCCUUGGACACUUCUAGGGAUGGGACACUCACUUGGAAGCAAC